rnacentral:rRNA from 1 species
AAUUCCUGCACCCCUUGUUAUCAGAACUGCGAGGACACGGGAAGGGAAGCAGAGCCGGGAAUGGAAAGCCCGGUGCAAGCGAAGUAGUCGCAGGGUUGGAAAAUCCGCCCUGCAUAAGACGAAGGCGUGAUGCGGAGCGAAAUGAAGUAGUGAAGCUGCGGCCCCUUCCUGUCGAGAAAAGCCGCUAUCGUGUAGCAAGGGCCCGUACCGUAAACCGACACAGGUGGAUGAGGAGAGGAUCCUAAGGCCGGCGGGAGAAGUGUUGUUAGGGAACUCGGCAAAAUGACUCCGUAACUUCGGGAGAAGGAGUGCUGCGCAAGCAGCCGCAGAGAAAUGGCCCAAGCAACUGUUUAGCAAAAACACAGGUCUAUGCGAAACCGGAAGGUGAGGUAUAUGGGCUGACGCCUGCCCGGUGCUGGAAGGUUAAGGGGAGAGCUUAGCAUAAGCGAAGGUUUGAACUUAAGCCCCAGUAAACGGCGGCCGUAACUAUAACGGUCCUAAGGUAGCGAAAUUCCUUGUCGGGUAAGUUCCGACCCGCACGAAAGGCGUAAUGAUUUGGGCACUGUCUCAACAACACACCCGGUGAAAUUGAAAUACCAGUGAAGAUGCUGGUUACCCGCGCCAGGACGGAAAGACCCCAUGGAGCUUUACUCCAGCCUGAUACUGGGAUUCGGUAUUGCAUGUACAGGAUAGGUGGGAGGCUAAGAACUUAUGGCGCCAGCCGUAAGGGAGCCGAUGUUGGGAUACCACCCCUGCAGUACUGGGUUUCUAACCUGCGCCCGUGACCCGGGCGGGGGACAAUGUCAGGCGGGGAGUUUGACUGGGGCGGUCGCCUCCGAAAGGGUAUCGGAGGCGCUCAAAGGUCUCCUCAGGAUGGUUGGAAACCAUCCAGAGAGUGCAAAGGCAGAAGGAGGCUUGACUGCGACACCGACGGGUGGAGCAGGUACGAAAGUAGGACUUAGUGAUCCGGUGGCAUAAAGUGGGAUUGCCAUCGCUCAACGGAUAAAAGCUACCCUGGAUAACAGGCUUAUCACUCCCAAGAGUUCACAUCGACGGAGUGGUUUGGCACCUCGAUGUCGGCUCAUCGCAUCCUGGAGCUGGAGCAGGUUCCAAGGGUUGGGCUGUUCGCCCAUUAAAGCGGUACGCGAGCUGGGUUCAGAACGUCGUGAGACAGUUCGGUCCCUAUCCGGCGCGGGCGCAGGAUAUCUGAGAGGAGCUGUCCUUAGUACGAGAGGACCGGGAUGGACCGUCCGCUGGUGGACCGGUUGUCAUGCCAAUGGCACGGCCGGGUAGCCAAGACGGGAAGGGAUAAACGCUGAAGGCAUCUAAGCGUGAAGCCCCCCUCAAGAUGAGAUAUCCAUACUCGAAAGAGUGAGAGACCCCUUAGAGACGAUGAGGUAGAUAGGGCAGAGAUGGAAGCACAGCGAUGUGUGGAGUUGACUGUUACUAAUCGGUCGAAAGCUUGAC